rnacentral:rRNA from 1 species
CAUAGGUUAAUGAGGCGAACCGGGGGAACUGAAACAUCUAAGUACCCCGAGGAAAAGAAAUCAACCGAGAUUCCCCCAGUAGCGGCGAGCGAACGGGGAGCAGCCCAGAGCCUGAAUCAGUGUGUGUGUUAGUGGAAGCGUCUGGAAAGGCGCGCGAUACAGGGUGACAGCCCCGUACACAAAAAUGCACAUGCUGUGAGCUCGAUGAGUAGGGCGGGACACGUGGUAUCCUGUCUGAAUAUGGGGGGACCAUCCUCCAAGGCUAAAUACUCCUGACUGACCGAUAGUGAACCAGUACCGUGAGGGAAAGGCGAAAAGAACCCCGGCGAGGGGAGUGAAAAAGAACCUGAAACCGUGUACGUACAAGCAGUGGGAGCACAGAGCAAUCUGUGUGACUGCGUACCUUUUGUAUAAUGGGUCAGCGACUUAUAUUCUGUAGCAAGGUUAACCGAAUAGGGGAGCCGAAGGGAAACCGAGUCUUAACUGGGCGUUAAGUUGCAGGGUAUAGACCCGAAACCCGGUGAUCUAGCCAUGGGCAGGUUGAAGGUUGGGUAACACUAACUGGAGGACCGAACCGACUAAUGUUGAAAAAUUAGCGGAUGACUUGUGGCUGGGGGUGAAAGGCCAAUCAAACCGGGAGAUAGCUGGUUCUCCCCGAAAGCUAUUUAGGUAGCGCCUCGUGAAUUCAUCUCCGGGGGUAGAGCACUGUUUCGGCAAGGGGGUCAUCCCGACUUACCAACCCGAUGCAAACUGCGAAUACCGGAGAAUGUUAUCACGGGAGACACACGGCGGGUGCUAACGUCCGUCGUGAAGAGGGAAACAACCCAGACCGCCAGCUAAGGUCCCAAAGUCAUGGUUAAGUGGGAAACGAUGUGGGAAGG